UACGAAGGGGGCUAGCGUUGUUCGGAAUUACUGGGCGUAAAGCGCACGUAGGCGGAUAUUUAAGUCAGGGGUGAAAUCCCAGAGCUCAACUCUGGAACUGCCUUUGAUACUGGGUAUCUUGAGUAUGGAAGAGGUGAGUGGAAUUCCGAGUGUAGAGGUGAAAUUCGUAGAUAUUCGGAGGAACACCAGUGGCGAAGGCGGCUCACUGGUCCAUUACUGACGCUGAGGUGCGAAAGCGUGGGGAGCAAACGGG
rnacentral:rRNA from 1 species